ACAGCACUGACACACACACUUACCCCACCAGACAUGCCACCAGGGGUCUUUUCACAGUCCCCAGGUCCAGAACACACUUACCCCACCAGACAUGCCACCAGGGGUCUUUUCACAGUCCCCAGGUCCAGAACACACUUACCCCACCAGACAUGCCACCAGGGGUCUUUUCACAGUCCCCAGGUCCAGAACACACUUACCCCACCAGACAUGCCACCAGGGGUCUUUUCACAGUCCCCAGGUCCAGAACACACUUACCCCACCAGACAUGCCACCAGGGGUCUUUUCACAGUCCCCAGGUCCAGAACACACUUACCCCACCAGACAUGCCACCAGGGGUCUUUUCACAGUCCCCAGGUCCAGAACACACUUACCCCACCAGACAUGCCACCAGGGGUCUUUUCACAGUCCCCAGGUCCAGAACACACUUACCCCACCAGACAUGCCACCAGGGGUCUUUUCACAGUCCCCAGGUCCAGAACACACUUACCCCACCAGACAUGCCACCAGGGGUCUUUUCACAGUCCCCAGGUCCAGAACAAAUUCAAUGAAAUGUACAUGUUAUUCAGAGCCAUACCUGCAUGGAACUCCCUUCCAUCUCAUACAGCGCAAGUGAACAGCAAACCUGGUUUCAAAAAACAGAUAAAGCAGCACCUCACGGCACAACGCCUCUCCCAUGUGACCUACUGGUUGCGUGUAUGU